AUUGAACGCUGGCGGCAGGCCUAACACAUGCAAGUCGAACGAGUGGCGGACGGGUGAGUAAUGUCUGGGAAACUGCCUGAUGGAGGGGGAUAACUACUGGAAACGGUCGCUAAUACCGCAUACCAUCAGAUGUGCCCAGAUGGGAUGAGCUUGUUGGUGGGGUAACGGCUCACCAAGGCGACGAUCCCUAGCUGGUCUGAGAGGAUGACCGGCCGCCUUGGAGCUGAGACAGCGUCCAGGCUCCUACGGGACGCAGCAGUGGGGAAUAUGGCACAAUAGGCGCAAGCCUGAUGCAGUCAUGGCGCGUGUGUGAAAAAGGCCUUCGGGUUGUGAAGUACUUUCAGCGGGGAGGCGGUACCCGCAGAAGAAGCACCGGCUAACUCCGUGCCAGCCGCCGCGGUAAUAC
rnacentral:rRNA from 1 species